CCUAAAGUCUCGUAAAGCGGCACGACGUUGGUUCACCAACCGCCAAUUAACUGCAACAGAAGAAGAAAUGCGGAAAUCACCACGUGGAUGAUCUCUGUUAUGAAGUGUCGGAAAGAAAAGAUGAUGAACGUUGUUCAAAACAACAGGAGGAAGGCUUUUUUGAUCAUCAAAUUCUGAGUGACUUCAAUGACGAUUAAGAGGCGAUGUUUUGUGGAAGGGGUGAUCAUGUUCUGUGGAAGCUGUUGACAGGUGCCCCUGUCAUGCCUGAUGGGUUUCUGUAUGAAAUGCAGCAAGCCAGCAGGACUCGGCUGUCGGCCCAUUUCGCCAGCACAGAGCUGCUGGGGAAAUCUUUUUUCAAGGUGCCAACCUGAAUUGAUUCUUUUGUAAAGAGACCCUCUGUAACACUACUACCAAUCAGACGGCAAGUGCUCUCCAUCACCAGUUGUGCUUGGAAGCUAAAAGAAGUGGAACAAGGCUGUCUCGUGCGUUUGGACCAGAUCCUCCACUGCCCCACAGAGUAUAUCUAUAGACGAUUAACGAGAAUCUGUUUGCAAACACACAACACUGAAGAUGAAGUCGGCACUAAGCAACACAACUGUGGCCUGGCUUCAUUUGAAUUCCAGGAAGGCUUCAAGGAGCCGGUGCUUUGAGGACGGUGUGUUUACCAUGGCUUGACCACCUCGCCGGCUUCCCAAAGCAGAUUAAAGGAGAAAAGUGGAGCACUUUGAUGUUUUCCUUCCAUUUAUUUGAAUCAGGGCGCAUUGAACAACAUAUACAUAUGUAGGCGGCAGAUACAACAGUGCAGGGACAUUCAACGCAGCAAUGACUGUUAACUUAACCUAUUACGCCUUCUGAAGGACUCGAGGAGAGUUUUGCUUUUCAUUGCUGCACAGAAGCGACAGUGGGACAGGGAUAUUUGUCACAAACACUUUCAGGUGAGAUGUCUUAGAAAACAGGGCAGUGCGUCUGACGUGUACACACACAGACCAAAGAUUUAUAGCGUGUUUUGUGUCAAUGGCUCGUAAAUUGACACAAGCUGUAAAAUUAAUUGCUCUGAACUAUAAUGACAGGCACAAUUCUAUUAUAUGGAAAUAAAGGCAACAAUUUACAAUAAGGUUGCAUAUGUUAACAUUAGCAAGUGCAUUUAGAUGAACUAACAAUAGGCUAUCGUUAGAUUGUGUUCAACAGAACAUUGCCCCCUAUUGACUAUCAUGGAAGGAAAGAUACAAUGGUAGUCAA